GAUUGCAGCCACCUGAGGUAAACAAAGGAAAAAACCCAGGGUACAGUUAUGCUAACAAAGGACUGUUAUGUUAACAAAUAGAGAAACUGAGGUACACAAUGGCCUUGAGUGUGAUGGUAAACAACCUUGGGAAAAAAGGCAGGCCAGAAUAGGGAAGAUGUUGUGACAUACCUGGAAAUGCCAAGGGGCUGGGAUAUUAUAAUGUAGCCUUUUACAUGUAUCCAACAGAUUUGUGAGUGGUAUGCAUGAUUAUUGUAGAGUGCUUAUAUAAGGUGUGAUUUCUUUCAAUAAAGUUGAAGCUUGCUCUAUCAUUCACAAUGAAUCAGCUGCUUGCUUCCUCCGUCCGCCGCACUUAUAUCCAGUGUAUGAUUGCUGUGGUGGCAUUUGUUGUCGGUGGAAAAUGUAUAAAGGGUCUUAUGUUGUUAUAUGGGCUAUUGAAUGCUUAUAAUGCCUUUGUAUUGCUGUGCGUGGAGGUGGGCCGGUACCUGUUUGCCGUUUGGGCUUUUGUUAUGGAUCUCACCCCCUCUAUGGGUGAGCCAGGGGAAGAGAUCCUCUCGGUUUUGGAGAGUUUCAAUUAUCCUUGGAGCCUGCAGGCCAGUGUGAUUGUGGCACAAUGCUUUCUGAAUGUCUGCCUGAUUUCGGUUUUGGCCAUGCGGUACUUCUCUAACAAUAGCAGUGCCCGGAAACCUGCCCCGAGGUCAGAUAAUAGUGAGUGGCAAGGGGUGUGGGAAAAGAUGGGCAAAGGCCUGAGUCGGUGGUCACCUCCAAUGCUUUGGAAUUUCACUCCUGAGCAAAUGCAGAGCCCUGAGAAGCUGAUGGAGUGCUUAGAAAGGGUGUGUUACCAAGCUGGCAAAACCCAGGAGACACAACUCGCUGCAAUGUGUUGGGGACUUGCCCAUGCCUACCGUGUCCUCUUUAAUACCACCCACUGCCCUCAAGGGGAAAAGGCCACAGAAGCUGAAAAAAUAUCUGAACCAGGGGCACAGGCAGAGCCAGUCUCAGUCACCUCCACCAGCACAGCGACUGAGCCAGAGAGCCAGCCAGUGCCAGUGUCAGUUGCCCCGAUACAGAAAACAAAAUAUACCAGAAAGUCAGUUCGCAGAGUGAGGGAUGAGGAUAAGCCAGGCCCAUCAGGGGAACAGGAGGAAGGACCAGAGGUGAUUGUCCGAUC
rnacentral:lncRNA from 1 species